UACGGAGGGGGGCUAGCGUUGUUCGGAAUUACUGGGCGUAAAGCGCACGUAGGCGGAUUGGAAAAGUCAGAGGUGAAAAUCCCCAGGGCUCAAACCCUUGGAAACUGCCUUUUGAAAACUCCCCAGUCUUGAGUUCGAGAGAGGUGAGUGGAAUUCCGAGUGUAGAGGUGAAAAUUCGUAGAUAUUCGGAGGAACACCAGUGGCGAAGGCGGCUCACUGGCUCGAUACUGACGCUGAGGUGCGAAAGCGUGGGGGAGCAAACAGG
rnacentral:rRNA from 1 species